ensembl:miRNA
UACAGCAUGUGGACUCAACGCUCUACUGUCUGAUAGACGUGUUUCGUCUGCACACUGCAUU